rnacentral:snRNA from 1 species
GUGCUCACUUUGGCAGCACAUAUGCUAAAAUUGGAAUGAUACAGAGAAGAUUAGCAUGGCCCCUGUGCAAGGAUGACACGCAAAUUCGUGAAGCAUUGCAUUUUUAA